rnacentral:rRNA from 1 species
UACAGAGGGUGCGAGCGUUAAUCGGAAUUACUGGGCGUAAAGCGCACGUAGGCGGCUUGGUAUGUCGGGUGUGAAAUCCCCGGGCUCAACCUGGGAACUGCAUCCGAAACUGCCUUGCUAGAGUAUGGGAGAGGGAAGUGGAAUUUCCGGUGUAGCGGUGAAAUGCGUAGAUAUCGGAAGGAACAUCAGUGGCGAAGGCGACUUCCUGGACCAAUACUGACGCUCAGGUGCGAAAGCUAGGGGAGCAAACAGG